CGUGUAGGCGGCUGAAUAAGUCAGAUGUGAAAUCCCUGGGCUUAACCCAGGAAGUGCAUUUGAAACUAUUCAGCUUGAGUAGGGGAGAGGAAAGUGGAAUUCCUGGUGUAGAGGUGAAAUUCGUAGAUAUCAGGAGGAACACCGGUGGCGAAGGCGACUUCUGGCCCUAUACUGACGCUGAGACGCGAGAGCGUGGGUAGCAACA
rnacentral:rRNA from 1 species